rnacentral:lncRNA from 1 species
GGCUGAAGGGCUCUUCAAGUGCCGCCAAAGUGGGAGCCCAGGCAGAGGAGGCGCCGAGAGCGAGCGAGGGCUGUGAGGACUGCCAGCAAGCACGCUGUCACCUCUUACAGGUAGAGGAAGAAGCAAAGAGACUGCCUUGUUUUGAGAACAUGGAGCUCAACCUCAAAGCCAGGGUGCUGGAGGAGAACAUGGAAAUCAGAUCUUUCUGUUGCCUGGGGGCAGAGCCUUGUGUAUGAAUAGGCUUUUUUCCAGUGGGACUCUG